AUACGGAGGGUGCGAGCGUUGUUCGGAAUCACUGGGCGUAAAGGGCGCGCAGGCGGUCUGUCAAGUCAGAUGUGAAAGCCCACGGCUCAACCGUGGACGUGCAUCUGAAACUGGCAGACUAGAGUACCGGAGGGGAAAGUGGAAUUCCCGGUGUAGAGGUGAAAUUCGUAGAUAUCGGGAGGAAUACCGGAGGCGAAGGCGACUUUCUGGACGGAUACUGACGCUGAGGCGCGAAAGCGUGGGGAGCGAACAGGAUUAGAAACCCCUGUAGUCC
rnacentral:rRNA from 1 species